rnacentral:rRNA from 1 species
GACGAACGCUGGCGGCGUGCUUAACACAUGCAAGUCGAACGGAAAGGCCCUGCUUUUGUGGGGUGCUCGAUUGGCGAACGGGUGAGUAACACGUGAGUAACCUGCCCUUGACUUUGGGAUAACUUCAGGAAACUGGGGCUAAUACCGGAUAGGAGCUCCUGCUGCACGGUGGUGGUUGGAAAGUUUCGGCGGUUGGGGAUGGACUCGCGGCUUAUCAGCUUGUUGGUGGGGUAGUGGCUUACCAAGGCUUUGGCGGGUAGCCGGCCUGAGAGGGUGACCGGCGACAAUGGGACUAAGAGAGGGAGCAGAAGGCAACGGGAGGCAGCAGUGGGAAAUAUGGCGCAAUGGGCGGAAGCCAGAGGCGGCAACGCCGGGUGCGGGAUGACGGCCUUCGGGUUGUAAACCGCUUUCGCCUGUGACGAAGCGUGAGUGACGGUAAUGGGUAAAGAAGCAACGGCUAACUACGUG